AUUCCAGCUCCAAUAGCGUAUAUUAAAGUUGUUGCAGUUAAAAAGCUCGUAGUUGGAUCUCAGGGUGAGCUCAGUUGGUCGGCCUAAUUGGUCAGAACUGGCUGACUCUCCCUUGUUUCUGAAUCCCGGUCGGAGUCAAUUCUUCGUUCGUGGACUUCAGAUCGUUUACCUUGAAAAAAUUAGAGUGUUCAAAGCGGGCGUUUGCUUGAAUACAUUAGCAUGGAAUAAUGGAAUAGGACCCUGGUUCUAUUUUGUUGGUUUUGAGGACCAGAGUAAUGAUUAAUAGGGAUAGUUGGGGGCAUUCAUAUUUAAUUGUCAGAGGUGAAAUUCUUGGAUUUAUGAAAGAUGAACUUCUGCGAAAGCAUUUGCCAAGGAUGUUUUCAUUA
rnacentral:rRNA from 1 species